rnacentral:rRNA from 1 species
GCAGCAGGACUGUAGCAAUACAGUUGCUGGCGACCGGCAAACGGGUGCGGAACACGUACGCAACCUACCCAAAACUGGUGAAUAGCCCUCCGAAAGGAGGAUUAAUACACCGUAACUUAAUUAGAUGGCAUCAUUUGAUUAAUAUAGCUCCGGCGGUUUUGGAUGGGCGUGCGCCUGAUUAGGUAGUUGGUGUGGGUAACGGCCCACCAAGCCUACGAUCAGUAACUGGUGUGAGAGCACGACCAGUCACACGGGCACUGAGACACGGGCCCGACUCCUACGGGAGGCAGCAGUAAGGAAUAUUGGUCAAUGGACGCAAGUCUGAACCAGCCAUGCCGCGUGAAGGAUGAAGGUCCUCUGGAUUGUAAACUUCUUUUAUAUGGGACGAAACCUCUUAUUCUUAAGAGACUGACGGUACCAUAGGAAUAAGCACCGGCUAACUCCGUGCCAGCAGCCGCGGUAAUACGGAGGGUGCAAGCGUUA